rnacentral:rRNA from 1 species
GCGCGAAAACUUUACAAUGCUGGCAACAGCGAUAAGGGAACCUCGAGUGCCAGGUUACAAAUCUGGCUGUCGAGAUGCCUAAAAAGCAUUUCAUAGCAAGGGCCGGGCAAGACCGGUGCCAGCCGCCGCGGUAACACCGGCGGCUCGAGUGGUAACCGUUAUUAUUGGGUCUAAAGGGUCUGUAGCCGGCCGGAUAAGUCUCUUGAGAAAUCUGGCAGCUUAACUGUCAGGCUUUCAGGAGAUACUGUCUGGCUCGAGGCCGGGAGAGGUGAGAGGUACUUCAGGGGUAGGGGUGAAAUCUUGUAAUCCUUGAAGGACCACCAGUGGCGAAGGCUGUCUGCUAGAACGCGCCCGACGGUGAGGGAUGAAAGCUGGGGGAGCGAACCGG